UGAGUAAGCUGAAUGAUCGCAAUUAUUUUAAUAAUUGAGGAAAGUCCGAGCUCCGUAGGGCAGGGUGCUGGGUAACUCCCAGUGGAGGUGACUCCAAGGAUAGUGCAACAGAGAGAUACCGCCUGCACAUACUUUUGCAGGUAAGGGUGGAAAGGUGAGGUAAGAGCUCACCAGCAUUCAGGCGACUGGAUAGGCUAUGUAAACCCCAUCUGGAGCAAGACUGAAAAGGACUAGAAUACGGUUGCCCGCCGUGUCCAGGUAAAGGUCGCUGGAGCCUACUGGCAACAGUAGUGCCUAGAUAGAUGAUCAUUCAUGACAGAACUCGGCUUACAGGCUUGCUCACAAU
rnacentral:RNase_P_RNA from 1 species